rnacentral:rRNA from 1 species
GGAUGAACGCUAGCGGCAGGCUUAACACAUGCAAGUCGAGGGGUAUAGUUCUUCGGAACUAGAGACCGGCGCACGGGUGCGUAACGCGUAUGCAAUCUACCUUUCACAGAGGGAUAGCCCAGAGAAAUUUGGAUUAAUACCUCAUAGCAUAGUAGUCUCGCAUGAGAUCACUAUUAAAGAUUUAUCGGUGAAAGAUGAGCAUGCGUCCCAUUAGUUAGUUGGUAAGGUAACGGCUUACCAAGACUACGAUGGGUAGGGGUCCUGAGAGGGAGAUCCCCCACACUGGUACUGAGACACGGACCAGACUCCUACGGGAGGCAGCAGUGAGGAAUAUUGGACAAUGGGCGCAAGCCUGAUCCAGCCAUGCCGCGUGCAGGAUGACGGUCCUAUGGAUUGUAAACUGCUUUUAUACAGGAAGAAACACCUCUACGUGUAGAGACUUGACGGUACUGUAAGAAUAAGGAUCGGCUAACUCCGUGCCAGCAGCCGCGGUAAUACGGAGGAUCCAAGCGUUAUCCGGAAUCAUUGGGUUUAAAGGGUCCGUAGGCGGUUUAGUAAGUCAGUGGUGAAAGCCCAUCGCUCAACGGUGGAACGGCCAUUGAUACUGCUAGACUUGAAUUAUUAGGAAGUAACUAGAAUAUGUAGUGUAGCGGUGAAAUGCUUAGAGAUUACAUGGAAUACCAAUUGCGAAGGCAGGUUACUACUAAUUGAUUGACGCUGAUGGACGAAAGCGUGGGUAGCGAACAGGAUUAGAUACCCUGGUAGUCCACGCCGUAAACGAUGGAUACUAGCUGUUGGGCGCAAGUUCAGUGGCUAAGCGAAAGUGAUA